rnacentral:rRNA from 1 species
UGCCAGACUCCUACGGGAGGCAGCAGUGAGGAAUAUUGGUCAAUGGCCGGAAGGCUGAACCAGCCAAGCCGCGUGAAGGACGAAGGUGCCAAGCAUUGUAAACUUCUUUUGUCAAGGGACAAAAUCAGGCUCGAGAGCCUGACCGAGGGUACUUGAAGAAAAAGCAUCGGCUAACUCCGUGCCAGCAGCCGCGGUAAUACGGAGGAUGCGAGCGUUAUCCGGAUUUAUUGGGUUUAAAGGGUGCGCAGGCGGAUUUUUAAGUCAGCGGUCAAAUCGUGGGGCUCAACCCCAUCCAGCCGUUGAAACUGGCAGACUUGAGUUGGCGAGAAGUACGCGGAAUGCGCGGUGUAGCGGUGAAAUGCGUAGAUAUCGCGCAGAACUCCGAUUGCGAAGGCAGCGUACCGGCGCCAGACUGACGCUGAGGCACGAAAGCGUGGGGAUCGAACAGGAUUAGAUACCCGCGUAC